UGACUAAGGUUUCCAGAGGAAGGCUCGUCCGCUCUGGGUUAGUCGGGUCCUAAGCUGAGGCCGACAGGCGUAGGCGAUGGAUAACAGGUUGAUAUUCCUGUACCACCUAUAAUCGUUUUAAUCGAUGGGGGGACGCAGUAGGAUAGGCGAAGCGUGCGAUUGGAUUGCACGUCUAAGCAGUAAGGCUGAGUAUUAGGCAAAUCCGGUACUCGUUAAGGCUGAGCUGUGAUGGGGAGAAGACAUUGUGUCUUCGAGUCGUUGAUUUCACACUGCCGAGAAAAGCCUCUAGAUAGAAAAUAGGUGCCCGUACCGCAAACCGACACAGGUAGUCAAGAUGAGAAUUCUAAGGUGAGCGAGCGAACUCUCGUUAAGGAACUCGGCAAAAUGACCCCGUAACUUCGGGAGAAGGGGUGCUCUUUAGGGUUAACGCCCAGAAGAGCCGCAGUGAAUAGGCCCAAGCGACUGUUUAUUAAAAACACAGCUCUCUGCUAAACCGUAAGG
rnacentral:rRNA from 1 species